GCCGAAGUGGCGGAACCGGAAGACGCGGCGGACUUAAACUCCGCUGGGCGCAAGCCCGUGUGAGUUCGAAUCUCACCUUCGGCACCA
rnacentral:tRNA from 1 species